rnacentral:rRNA from 1 species
ACUCCUACGGGAGGCAGCAGUGGGGAAUAUUGGACAAUGGGGGAACCCUGAUCCAGCCAUGCCGCGUGUGUGAAGAAGGCCUUUUGGUUGUAAAGCACUUUAAGCGAGGAGGAGGCUUACCUGGUUAAUAACCUGGGAUAAGUGGUACGUUACUCGCAGAAUAAGCACCGGCUAACUCUGUGCCAGCAGCCGCGGUAAUACAGAGGGUGCAAGCGUUAAUCGGAUUUACUGGGCGUAAAGCGCGCGUAGGUGGCUAAUUAAGUCAAAUGUGAAUCCCGAGCUUAACUUGGGAAUUGCAUUCGAUACUGGUUAGCUAGAGUAUGGGAGAGGGAUGGUAGAAUUCCAGGUGUAGCGGUGAAAUGCGUAGAGAUCUGGAGGAAUACCGAUGGCGAAGGCAGCCAUCUGGCCUAAUACUGACACUGAGGUGCGAAAGCAUGGGGAGCAAACAGGAUUAGAUACCCUGGUAGCUACGAGU